GCUCUGUUUCAGAAAAAUGACCAUAACCGACGGAGACGAGCCUUUGACGCCGGCCGGCAGAUUAUUCGUCCAGCCGGGGAUGGAGCAAAUCAUCAAUUGUGCCGUUUCCGUCGACGAUCCAAUCGACGUCGACGCCGUCAAAUUGGAAAUAAGCAAUUCCAUAUUGGUUAAACAUCCCAGAUUCUCCAGUAUCAUGCUGAAAGACACGUGUGGCCGUGAACGAUGGCGUAAAACUGAAGUCAACGUGGAUGAUCACUUCAUUAUUCGCCAUGAACCACUCACUGAUGAUCCUUCAAUUGCCGAUGAAGAUGCUGUUAACGAUUACUUAGCGGAUCUCUGUGUUUCAACUCCGCUUAGCUUAACGAAGCCUCUUUGGGAAUUUCAUCUUCUCUUAGCCCAUAAUUGGGCCGUUUUGAGACUUCAUCAUGCUCUUGGUGAUGGAAUUUCACUUAUGUCCAUGUUCAUGUCUUGUUGCCGGCGAGCCGACGAUCCUAAUCAGCGCCCCACAACUCAUGGUAUAGGGACAUCGAGUUCAUCAAACAAUUUGAAUGUAUGGAGUUUGUUGAAGAAAUUGGUGAUGGUUAUAUGGUAUACGUUAGUGUAUGUUACAGAGUUUGGUUUGAGGAGUUUGUGGUUGAAGGAUAAGAAGACAGCCAUAAGCGGCGGAGCUGGAGUCGAGCUAUGGCCGCGGAAAUUGGCGACAGCCAAGUUUAAGAUUGACGAUAUGAAGACGGUAAAAAAAGCCAUCGAUAAUGCGACCAUCAACGAUGUCCUCUUUGGAGUUAUAUCAUUUGGGCUCUCUAGGUACCUGGAUCUGCGUUCACCCAAAGCUACGAAAGAAGGGCUUCAGAUGACUGGAGUUGCCAUGAUUAAUUUAAGAAAACAAUCUGGAUUACAGGACUUUUCAGAGUUGAUGAAGAGCAAAUCUGGAGCACGGUGGGGUAACAAAUUUGGGAUGUUACUAUUACCAGUUUAUUAUCACAAAGGAGGAAGUGAUCCAUUGCAGUUUGUAAAGAGAGCUAAAGCAAUGAUAGACAAGAAAAAGUUAUCAUUAGAGGGUCCUUGCUCCUAUAAAAUUGGAGACUUAAUCAUGUCCAUUUUUGGUGCUAAGCUAGCUACCUUGCUCAACUACAGAAUUAUUAGCAAUACAACUUUCACAAUUUCAAAUGUGAUCGGCCCUGCAGAGGAUAUCACCUUUGGAGGGAACCGCAUAUCAUCU
rnacentral:misc_RNA from 1 species